rnacentral:snoRNA from 1 species
UGUCGGUGGCGAAAGAUAUGGUAAAUAUGUAAUGUAUGAUAAUUCGUGAUUGCUAUUAGUAUUAACUACUACCUUCCUUCUGAGUUU